CAGCCGCCGCGGGAAAACGUAGGGUGCAAGCGUUAAUCGGAAUUACUGGGCGUAAAGCGCGCGUAGGUGGUUUGUUAAGUUGGAUGUGAAAUCCCCGGGCUCAACCUGGGAACUGCAUCCAAAACUGGCAAGCUAGAGUAUGGUAGAGGGUGGUGGAAUUUCCUGUGUAGCGGUGAAAUGCGUAGAUAUAGGAAGGAACACCAGUGGCGAAGGCGACCACCUGGACUGAUACUGACACUGAGGUGCGAAAGCGUGGGGAGCAAACAGGAUUAGAUACCCCGGUAGUCCCUGUCUCUUAUAC
rnacentral:rRNA from 1 species